CUGGAGGCCCCGGCCCCCCGGCGUUCCCUCUCCGCGCACCUCCCGGCCCGCGCUAGCAGGUAGCAGGCAAGAGUGUGGUUAUCGUUGGACCAGGAUUCAGGAUCUGACUGAGUAGCUGACUCUUAAUCCAGUUUGUGUUGAUCACCAGGAGGAUCUGGACCUCAGUAUUACCACAUCUAGAGCUAUAAUCACAUCCCUGUUAAGCCUUCCUGAGAUCACACCAAAUGUCCUUGAUGGGAAUUGUAAACAACCCUUACUUCUGGUUUCUAAUGAUAUUCCAGGAAAGGAGCCUAACUAGAGUCAGUGAUAUGCCAACUCCACCUUUGCCUUCCACCAUGUUUGGAAGCUCCCUGAGGCCUCACCAGGAGCAGAUGCUCGUCCCAUGCUUCCUAUAAGCCUGCAGAACUGGAAAAGAAAGCUGGAUAAAGUAUUUAUAGAAGAUAGAGGACCUGUGGUGGCUCAUGCCUGUAAUCCAAGGUGGAAGGAUUGCUUGAGGCCAGAAGUUCAAGACCAGUCCAAGCAACAUAGCAAGGCCCCAUCUCUACAAAAAAUGAAAAUAAAAUUAGCCGAGCGUGAUGGCUCAUGCCUGUAGUUCUAGCUUCUAGAGAGGCUGAGGCAGGAGGAUUGCUUGAGUCCAGGAGUUCAAGAUUACAGUGAGCUAUGGUCACACCACUGCACUCCAGCCUGGGUGAUGGAGUGAGACUGUCUCAAUAAAAAGACAAAAAGGCUGGCCAGGGGCAGUGGUUCAUGCCUGUAAACCCAGCACUUUGGGAGGCAAAGGCAGGAGGAUUGCUUAAGCCCAGGAAUUUGAGAUCAGCCUGGACAACAUGGUGAGACCCCCAUCUCUACAAAAAUUUUUUUUAAAAGUUACCCAGGCAUGGUGUUGCACAUCUGUGUUCCCAGCUACUGGGGAGGCUGAGACGGGAGGAUCACUUGAGUCCAGGAAGUUGAGAGGUUGAGGCUGCUGUGAGCUGUGAUUGUGCCACUGCACUUUAGCCUGGACAACAGAGGGAGACCCUGUCAACAACAACAACAACAACAAAAAAGCAAAACAUCAUAGGCUGCAGAAAUAAACUUUCUUGUCAAUUGUGUCUUUAACCAUGACCAUUUUGAGUCAUUUCCACAGUGAGUUGCCUAAUUUUGAUGCAUUUCUGAAAACUCUUUAUAAGCAAGUAAAAUCCUAGAGAAUUGUGCCUUCAAGGAGACUCAUGGAAAGGAUGGAAAGAACUCUUGAAUACAUGUUUCUGAUAGCUUUAUGAUCAUAUCAUUUGGACUGGGUAAGAAUUCCCAGAACUCAUGAAGAGACUGACUAUUUAUUAAUCCAAGCAGGAAAAGAAUUAAUUGAAUACCAAGGAAAUACUGUGCCAGAGAUUUUCAUGCUAAAUCAGUCAGCACCGAAAUCGUUAAGAUGUGUAGUUUGAAUGAACUCCAUGAUCCUAGUCAAAUUUCCUAUGAUGACCCAUUUAAUAAACAGUGCUAUGCACCUGAAUUGGAGAAACAGAAUUGAUACUUAAAUCCAAUGUUAAUCAUAGAUUCAUGGAAAGCCUAAAUGGCUGCUUGGGUCUUCCUGAGCCCUUAAAGCUUCCAUUAUUAAAGGCUCUGCACUUUAUAAGUUAUCACUGAAGAGAGAAAAUGAUCCAGAUUUAAAAUACACAUAUUGGUGUGGUGAAUGUUCUAAAUUGCGAAAAUGGUUUAUGACCAACAUUUGGUUUGUCAUGCUCACAAUCCUGGAAAUACAUUCAAAACUUCAGGUACAUUUCUGCUACCUGAUGGGCUAUUUGAAUAUAUAGAGAGGGAUUUCAUUCAAUUGCCAUUUUCAUUGCAUGUUUUUUGGUUGUAUAGAAGCUUUCCCAUGCAAGGAGGCUGAUGCUGUUAUUACAGUAGCUAAAAGGUUAGUAGGAAAUGUGUUUUCCCCCAUGGGGCAUUCCUGGAGAAAUCUCUAGCAAUAAAGGUACUUGUUUGACUGGACAAGUUGUAAAACAGUUUAAUAAGGUUUUUUUUAGGUGUCAUAGCAUUAGGCAAAGCUAACUGAAUUGACUGGAUUGUCAUAGUCAAACAUAUUGCAGAUCCGCUUCCAAUAGAAGACAAUGAAAUAGUCACUGGAAAGCCUGUGCUCCUAAUUUUAGAACCUCAUGUAUCUUCUGCUCCUAAACUCUGAUAGGACUAAAUGCUGUGAGGCCUCAAUGCAUUAUGUUAAUGUGUAUUUUCACCAGGUCAAGGAAGCUUUUCCUGAUCCACUAACUAAGGACAAUCAAACCCUUCAUGAUCUAGAAUCUGGAGACUGUGUCUUCUGGGAAUAGUAUCAGAGAAAGACUGCCCUUACUGCCCACAUGUAGCAAAACUUUGAGACGUUGAAUUAUGGGUCCAUAAUCUCACAACUCAGAGGGGCACCUCUAGACUCUUGGAACUGUAUAUCUAUUGGAGACUUUAAGGUAAAGCUGAACAGAGAGACGUUUUUCUCCAGAAGCAGACAGCACCAUAGUCAUGGACAGCUUUCCCAAGAUCACAGAUCAAGACUUCUCUGCCGUCAUGAGACUCAUAACCUCUUAAUUUUUUCUUGCUUAUGCUUCUGUGAACAAUAGAAUUGGAAAAGGGGUGGUCCCGCGUGCACCCAUAGGGUAUACUUUUAUUUGUGGAGGAUUUUGCUGCCAACCUUAUACAUGGGCAAACUUAUGCCUUCAUGGAUGGAAGAUAAAGGGCUAAUAUGGGUUAGAAAUUUUAAUGGUACCUUUGUUUCUCCAUAAUCAUUCAGAAACAGAACACUGGUCCACUCUUGUUAACCUACAUCAUAGGUUGAAGAGAACAUUGCCAGGAGGCCUUCAUCCUUCCAGAUGGGCACCAUUUGUUGGGUCUUUUUCCGUGGUAUGAAGAAAAUGAAGCAAUGAUUAGAAAUUGGUCCCUCGGCCGGGCACAAUGGCUCAUGCCUGUAAUCCCAUCACUUUGGCAGGCCGAGGCGGGUGGAUCACCUGAGGUCAGGAGUUUGAGACCAGCCUGACCAAUGUGGUGAAACGCCAUCUCUACUAAAAAUACAAAAAUUAGCUGGGUGUGAUGGUGCACACCUGUAAUCCAGCUACUCGGGAGGCUGAGACAGGAGAAUUGCUUGAACCUGGGAGGCAGAGGUUGCAGUGAGCCAAGAUCACCCCACUGCAUUCCAGGUUGGGCAACAGAGCAAGACUCUGUCUCAAAAAAAAAAGAAGAAAGAAAGAAAUUGAUCCCUCAUAAUAGGCUGUAUAGCAGAUUCUACUGCAAAGGCUAUGGUUGCACAACAGACUUCUUUGAAUUUGCUUGCUAAACUUUUACUGGAUAAUACUGGGAUUACAGGUGUGAGCCACUGUGCCCAGCCUCUCCUGUUUAACUGUAUUCAUUCUAAUGUUUACUUACUUCUUUAAUUUGUAAAAUUGGGUCACUUAGAGUUUUUUUAGCCUAUCUUGCCAUUUAGCCACUGUUACUGAUAAUUUGGAUGGAAAAGAAAAAUAAAUUAUAUCACCUCUCAUCUUCAGUGUAUAUAUGUGUUAACUUAGUAAAUAUAGUAUUCUUUCUCGUUCCUAAUGAAAAUUUAGUUUACGUACUGAAACACUGCAAACUUUUAUAAAUAUUGUGAUGUAUUUGACCAAUACAAAGGAUCUUUUUAGAAACAGCAAACAGUUCUCAGAUUAUAGGAAUUACUCAUUUAAUGAUAGUUUCUUCUU
rnacentral:lncRNA from 10 species